rnacentral:lncRNA from 1 species
CUUUUAACAUAAUUCCAAAAUGUGACAUGAAAUAGAACUGCAGGAGAAGUCAGGAUCAACCAGGUAUGCUGCAACUAUUCCUUGAACAAGCCACUAUUGCAGACAAGUGAACAUGAAGGGUUUGGUGGCUGUCUGCAUGGAAUGUCUCACAAGAAUCCCAUGUGCUACACUGGAGGAUUUGAACCUUCUAAGAACUGCAAUGAUACAACCAGAACACGAGAACCCAUUACAGUCUUUACUGUUUCAUGCCGCUAAAGAUCCUUGAUCCCAGAUAAAGCAAAAGUUCUGUUGGUGGCUUUGAAGUCACAUGCUCUCCCUCCUGGGGCAGGACUGUGUAUCAUUCCUCUUGACUUCCACCUACAAAGAACUUUGUUUUCAAAAUCUGUAGCAUGAUGGUGUGAGUUUGUUGGUGUUCGUUUUGGAAGACUGUUUUGAAAAUAAGGUUGUCAUUAUCAUGUAUUGAUUUCUAGAGUAGUUGUUAUAGGCAUUAUAAGUCAUUGUAGGAUGUAUCAUUCUCUCGGAUAAUAUAAAAAGCAGCAGAAUAAGGAAUAAAGUGAUCAAACUACAUGUACAGGUGAAGUAUUUUGUGAGUUUGGAAGAACAGUAACUAGGAAAAUCACAGAUGUUCAGUGUUCAUAGAUACUGACUGUUCUUUUUUCUUACAAUAUUCCAAGACAAUCCCUUGACACAGUAAAAACUGUUUUGAUCUACGAGGGCCAGUCAUGCACCACUUGCACAUGAAGUUUUGUAUUCUAAAUGACACUAAGUUAUGAUCAGCAUCCCAGCUUAUUCUCAGCCCUUUCUUGCAUUUUAUCACAACCACGCGC